UCUUUAGAUGCAAAUUAAUUCUCAUCCCACCCUGCUGCCACCCUCCUGGGGAUGCUUUUAAAUAGAGGUGCUGGGGAGCUGCAUGUUGUUGUGUGGUGGUGGCUGGUCCAGGCUGGGCUCUGCUCUGAGAGUGUGGGGUCUGUGGGAAGCCCUACGGCUGAACUAGAGAGUCUUGGAAAUCCAUACUGAGCAUCUGGGCAUGGGAUCUGUUUCUGUUGUGCUUAUUCCUCAAGUCGUAGCCUACGUGCCCUCCCCCUUGGGGCAGGUCUUCUCCAGGGGCUGGAGGAGGCGCUGCUGGGCCUCUGGGGUGCAGCAACCCGGUGCUGAGAGCAUCAGGAGUGCCUUGCGGAGCGCGCAGCUCUGUGGCUGGAAGCUAGAAUGUGGAUGAAAACCUCAGCUCAUCCCUGUGGGUGACCAUGAGGCAAAACCUCUGAUUGCCUCUGCUGAGGGGAAACCUCUCUGUGCAAAGCACCGGUGACUUGUUGCUGCUCAGAAAAGUUACAGGUUUUUCUGAAUGAACGCUAGCAGCUUCCUUCUGCUGAGACAGCCUAGCUUGUUUAGUCUGGCCCUUCCACGGAGUCUGGCACGUGAGCUUGGAAAGCAGCUGCAGGAGCUGCUCAGUGCUGCAGGAGCAGCCGUCUGGCACUCAGGCUGGCUUCUGCAUUGCCCAGCCCUGGGAAGGAUUUCCUGGGUUGUGGUGGGGAAGCUGGAGCCAUCUGUGGGGAUGAGAGCCCCAGCUUCCCUGAGGUCAGCGUCUCAGGAAGGAGAGCGCACAGGGGGCAGCGAGUGCUCUGUUCCUGCCUGCUCCUAGUGCUUGUGGGAAUCAGCAAGGAGUGGCCAAAUGCCUGGGCAUACACCUAAAGAGACGUCUGUUCGUUCUGAGGAUGCAGAACUCAGCACCAGCCCUGAGGCCCUGUCUUGUGCUCCUGAUGGAGCUGUAACCAGAGCUCUCCAGAGAUGUUCCCAAUGCCCAGGAGAGCUGAGGUCUCUGCACCACACAGGUGGUUGCAAAUGUCCCUCAGCAAUUUCCAUUGCAAAUCAUCCAUGUCUUGAAGCAUUGCAUAUGCCAGAAACUGAUUCUGUUCUGGAGGCCACCAUGCUGUGUGCCGGGGUUGUGCUGGCUGCUCAGCACAGGGAGAGGAGACAAACCUGACGCUUCCCCAUGUGGGAUGUCCUCGCCCCUGGCUGUGGGAUGGUGGCCCCAGUGGCCCUGUUGUGGCCACAGAGCAGGGCGAGAGAAGCUUCAGUUCUGUCGGUGCUGGAGCCUGAGGAAAAUCCCAAGGCUGCAGCCAGCAGCCCCAAGGACAGACCCUGGGCUCCAUGGCUGGGGCAGCUUCUGCAGGAUGUCUGCUUGUUGUGCUCAUUGUGACGGGCAAUUUUCCCCCCAGUGAGGCCGGUGGCUGUGAUAUCAGGCUGGGCAGCAUUUUUCCUCCAGUACAGGUCCCCACCUGCUUCCCUGCAGCUCUGGGUUUCUGGCCUCCCUCCCCUGGCAUCCUGCAUCAGCUCAGAGCAGCUGGUACUUCCUUGCCAAAGGGAACAGCACCUUAAAUAAAAUCCAGGUGGCUGCCUCUAUUUGUUUUACUCAGGGCUGACACUGGGUAGCACCCUAUCAGCCCCUCUGUGCUGGCUCUGUUACCUGAAGAAAAUCU